AGUCACUGACAUUAGAUACCCGGGUAGUCCAGGGUGUAAACGCUGCAGACUUGGUGUCGGGAACCCUUCGGGGGUGCUCAGUGCCGGAGAGAAGUUGUUAAGUCUGCUACUUGGGGAGUACGUCCGCAAGGAUGAAACUUAAAGGAAUUGGCGGGGGAGCACCGCAACGGGAGGAGCGUGCGGUUUAAUUGGAUUCAACGCCGAAAAACUCACCAGCAGCGACUGUUACAUGAAAGUCAGGUUGAUGACCUUACUAGAUUUUCAG
rnacentral:rRNA from 1 species